GCGUGCCUAAUACAUGCAAGUCGAACGAACUUCCGUUAAUUGAUUAUGACGUACUUGUACUGAUUGAGAUUUUAACACGAAGUGAGUGGCGAACGGGUGAGUAACACGUGGGUAACCUGCCCAGAAGUAGGGGAUAACACCUGGAAACAGAUGCUAAUACCGUAUAACAGAGAAAACCGCAUGGUUUUCUUUUAAAAGAUGGCUCUGCUAUCACUUCUGGAUGGACCCGCGGCGUAUUAGCUAGUUGGUGAGGUAAAGGCUCACCAAGGCAGUGAUACGUAGCCGACCUGAGAGGGUAAUCGGCCACAUUGGGACUGAGACACGGCCCAGACUCCUACGGGAGGCAGCAGUAGGGAAUCUUCCACAAUGGACGCAAGUCUGAUGGAGCAACGCCGCGUGAGUGAAGAAGGGUUUCGGCUCG
rnacentral:rRNA from 1 species